CCUACGGGUGGCAGCAGUGAGGAAUAUUGGUCAAUGGACGAGAGUCUGAACCAGCCAAGUAGCGUGAAGGAUGAAUGCCCUAUGGGUUGUAAACUUCUUUUAUAUGGGAAUAAAAUGUUCCACGUGUGGGAUUUUGUAUGUACCAUAUGAAUAAGGAUCGGCUAACUCCGUGCCAGCAGCCGCGGUAAGACGGAGGAUCCGAGCGUUAUCCGGAUUUAUUGGGUUUAAAGGGAGCGUAGGUGGAUUCUUAAGUCAGUUGGGAAAGUUUGCGGCUCAACCGUAAAAUUGCAGUUGAAACUGGCAGUCUUGAGUACAGUAGAGGUGUGCGGAAUUCGUGGUGUAGCGGUGAAAUGCUUAGAUAUCACGAAGAACUCCGAUUGCGAAGGCAGCUCACUGGACUGCAACUGACACUGAGGCUCGAAAGUGUGGGUAUCAAACAGGAUUAGAUACCCCAGUAGUC
rnacentral:rRNA from 1 species